UACAGAGGGGGCAAGCGUUAUUCGGAAUUAUUGGGCGUAAAGGGCGCGUAGGCGGCGAUUCAAGUGACGGGUGAAAUCCCUCGGCUUAACCGAGGAACUGCCUGUCAGACUGGAAGGCUUGAGACCGGGAGAGGUGAGUGGAAUUCCCAGUGUAGCGGUGAAAUGCGUAGAUAUUGGGAGGAACACCAGUGGCGAAGGCGGCUCACUGGACCGGAACUGACGCUGAGGCGCGAAGGCCAGGGGAGCAAACGGG
rnacentral:rRNA from 1 species